AAUGGGUCAGCGACUUAUAUUCUGUAGCAAGGUUAACCGAAUAGGGGAGCCGGAGGGAAACCGAGUCUUAAUUGGGCGUUAAGUUGCAGGGUAUAGACCCGAAACCCGGUGAUCUAGCCAUGGGCAGGUUGAAGGUUGGGUAACACUAACUGGAGGACCGAACCGACUAAUGUUGAAAAAUUAGCGGAUGACCUGUGGCUGGGGGUGAAAGGCCAAUCAAACCGGGAGAUAGCUGGUUCUCCCCGAAAGCUAUUUAGGUAGCGCCUCGUGAAUUCAUCUCCGGGGGUAGAGCACUGUUUCGGCUAGGGGGCCAUCCCGGCUUACCAACCCGAUGCAAACUGCGAAUACCGGAGAAUGUUAUCACGGGAGACACACGGCGGGUGCUAACGUCCGUCGUGAAGAGGGAAACAACCCAGACCGCCAGCUAAGGUCCCAAAGUCAUGGUUAAGUGGGAAACGAUGUGGGAAGGCCCAGACAGCCAGGAUGUUGGCUUAGAAGCAGCCAUCAUUUAAAGAAAGCGUAAUAGCUCACUGGUCGAGUCGGCCUGCGCGGAAGAUGUAACGGGGCUAAACCAUGCACCGAAGCUGCGGCAGCGACGCUUAUGCGUUGUUGGGUAGGGGAGCGUUCUGUAAGCCUGCGAAGGUGGCCUGUGAGGG
rnacentral:rRNA from 1 species